GACGAACGCUGGCGGCGUGCCUAAUACAUGCAAGUCGAGCGAGAAAGCCCGCAAGGGUGAGUAAAGCGGCGCACGGGUGCGUAACACGUGGGUAAUCUGCCCUGAAGCCCGGAAUAACUCGCCGAAAGGCGUGCUAAUGCCGGAUAAGACCACGGGAACCUCGGUUCCUGCGGGAAAAGGUGGCCUCUGUAUACAAGCUAUCUCUUCAGGAUGAGCCCGCGGCCCAUCAGCUAGUUGGCGGGGUAACGGCCCACCAAGGCUACGACGGGUAGCUGGUCUAAGAGGACGAUCAGCCACACUGGAACUGAGACACGGUCCAGACUCCUACGGGUGGCAG
rnacentral:rRNA from 1 species